AGCAGUAGCCGCGGGAAUACGAAGGGUGCAAGCGUUACUCGGAAUUACUGGGCGUAAAGCGUGUGUAGGUGGUUGUUUAAGUCUGUCGUGAAAGCCCUGGGCUCAACCUGGGAAUUGCGAUGGAUACUGGGCGACUAGAGUGCGGUAGAGGAUAGUGGAAUUUCCGGUGUAGCAGUGAAAUGCGUAGAGAUCGGAAGGAACAUCUGUGGCGAAGGCGACUAUCUGGGCCAACACUGACACUGAGACACGAAAGCGUGGGGAGCAAACAGGACUAGAUACCCCCGUAGUCCCUGUCUCUUAUAC
rnacentral:rRNA from 1 species